GUCUACGGCCAUGCCACCCUGAACAUGCCCGAUCCCAUCUGAUCUCAGAAGCUAAGCAGGGUUGAGCAUAGUUAGUACUUGGAUGGGAGACCACCUAGGAAGACCAGGUGCUGUAGGCG
rnacentral:rRNA from 1 species